rnacentral:ncRNA from 1 species
CAAAUCCCAUCUUGUAAAGUCUAGCCAACAGCAAGUACCGAGUCCUUGGAGCCGAAGUGGCAACAUUAGGUUUAAGCGUAGGAUAGGGAGCAUACGAGCCGUAAUGCGUAAGCGUGAAACUGUUAGCCUCGUUAGAUAUAAUAAAAUGAAAGCUGAUACUCUCACCAAAGUAGCAAGCAGUAAUAAUAAAUCGAUAUGGCAAGAUUUAAUAGGUUUCAUCGGGGUUUCAAAGUG